rnacentral:lncRNA from 1 species
AGAUUCAUUUUCUGCUCAGACACCGUUGCUUGCAAAAUUCCACCCAGAAGAUAAGGGAGGGAGUAUCGCUGCAGCGUCCUGCUCUGUGCCUGGUUAUAUUACUGGAUCCUUGUGUUGCAGCCCUAAGAUAGAAGGAUUGUCUCCAUUUCACAGAUGAGAGAGAACUGAUGCGCAGGAGGCUGAAAUUGUCUGAAGUCACACAGCAGCCUCCUCUUAAACAUGACAAAGAAUCCAAGGACUUGUGCUGGGGCUGUCAGCUGCUAUUCUGGUGCCCUGGGGACGAAGAAGGGAUCUGGAGGGAAGACUGUCACCCUCUUGCGAAUGUUUCCAAGAAGCAGCUCAGCAUGGGAGAGAAAAGGGGAGAUCCCAGUUCCAGGAACACCUGGCCAGUGUUUCACCUGUUUAUCGGAGUUGACAGGACCAGCCAGCCCUUUCCCACCUCUCCCCAUCAUGAUGGAUGGGAGCCUGGCCUUUGAGAAAGCACAGAACGUGGCACGUUGGAGGAAAUCAGUAAGUGUUUGCUAAAGGUCCAACAAUGAAACAGAACAGAUAUAUCCAGUGCUAUGCCGCGUCAAAAGAGUAUGAGAGGUAUUGUGGUGAUGCUUUUGAAUGCUAAUCAGAAUAAGGAGGGUGACUAGUCCAUAGUUAUAUAGAAUAUAGGAUAUACAGAAUAUACCUUUUUCUGUAACGGGAUGUGUCACUUAACUUUGUUCCUUAAAGCUCCAGAAGCCCAAGGUCACCCACAAUGAUUCAAGUAUUAUCAAUGUUGAGAGCCUGUAAAAGCAUCAAGUAUAUUAUAGUUUCCAAAAAAUUGUGAAUUAGACUGAAAACCAGCAUUUAAAAAAUAAAGUGAUGUUGACUUAAA